rnacentral:rRNA from 1 species
AAAUUGAAGAGUUUGAUCAUGGCUCAGAUUGAACGCUGGCGGCAGGCCUAACACAUGCAAGUCGAACGGUAACAGGAAGCAGCUUGCUGCUUCGCUGACGAGUGGCGGACGGGUGAGUAAUGUCUGGGAAACUGCCUGAUGGAGGGGGAUAACUACUGGAAACGGUAGCUAAUACCGCAUAACGUCGCAAGACCAAAGAGGGGGACCUUCGGGCCUCUUGCCAUCGGAUGUGCCCAGAUGGGAUUAGCUAGUAGGUGGGGUAACGGCUCACCUAGGCGACGAUCCCUAGCUGGUCUGAGAGGAUGACCAGCCACACUGGAACUGAGACACGGUCCAGACUCCUACGGGAGGCAGCAGUGGGGAAUAUUGCACAAUGGGCGCAAGCCUGAUGCAGCCAUGCCGCGUGUAUGAAGAAGGCCUUCGGGUUGUAAAGUACUUUCAGCGGGGAGGAAGGCGAUAAGGUUAAUAACCUUGUCGAUUGACGUUACCCGCAGAAGAAGCACCGGCUAACUCCGUGCCAGCAGCCGCGGUAAUACGGAGGGUGCAAGCGUUAAUCGGAAUUACUGGGCGUAAAGCGCACGCAGGCGGUCUGUCAAGUCGGAUG